rnacentral:hammerhead_ribozyme from 1 species
AUCCAGCUGACGAGUCCCAAAUAGAACGAAACUCGCGUAGUGGAU